GUGGUGUGUGUGACAGGAGCAUAAGGCUAUAUAGCGUCAUGGUUUGUGAAACUCUUGCUCCAAAGUGGCUACACCGUCAAAGCAACUGUUCGUGACCUGAGUCAGCUCAAGACCCUUGAUUAUAUUCAUGCAUGGCAUCGUUUAUGGCUUCACCAUUCCAAAUCAUCGCAAGAAGUUGCUCCAAUUUACAUGUAACAGGUGAUACAAAGAAGACUGGACAUCUGCUUGCUCUAGAUGGAGCCAAGGAGAGACUUCAUCUUUACAAGGCCGACUUACUAGAAGAAGGAUCUUUCGAGUCCGUUGUCAAUGGAUGUGAUGGCGUCUUCCACACUGCAACACCUGUGCUUCUCACCCCCAAAAAACCCAAGGUUCUUUUGCUCUCUCAAAGCUUUGGUACCCAGUUUCAAAAACCUUAGCCGUAGAGGCAGCAUGGAGAUUUAAAAGAGAGAAGGGGAUCGAUUUGGUCACGAUGCAUCCUGGGUUUGUCAUUGGUCCCCUACUAUAGUCUUCGUUUAAUCUCAGCGCAGAAAUAUUUCUCAACCUCAUAAAUGGUAGCCACAAGUAACUGAUAAAUUUAUUAUAUUGUUUAUUCUGAUGAGAUUAGAAUUUUUUUAAGUAAAGUAAUUCCCGUAAAUAGUACUUUUUACACGAUUUGUCCUUAGUAAUUUGUCCACAACUUAACAAGCAAAUGUCGAGGAUAUAUAUGUUGAUUCAUUUUAUAAUGGACAAAAUAUACACGUGAUGGAACUUAUUAAACUGAUACAAACGGCUAUACAUGUGAUGGAACUUGAUUCAAAAUGAAAUACACAAAUUUAUUGGAACCAUCUGUAUAACAAGAGGAGACUUACAAGUAAAGUUGUUCCCAUCUGAUGCUGAGAUAUUUGCUGCAGGAACUCACACUUUUCCUGACACAAACUAUAGAUUUGUUGAUGUAAGAUACCUUGCACGUGCACACUUUCAUGCUUUUGAGUCCCCUUCUGCUAAAGGCAGAUAUUGUCUUGUUCACAAAGUCGUGCACUCAGACAAUGCUUUCAAGAUUUUGCGAGAGCUCUAUCCUGCUCUACACCUUGCUGAAAAGAGAUGUGAAGAUGAAAAGCCUUCUGUGCCAACGAAUAAAAUAUCAAAUGACAAAGCCAGAAGUCUAGGCAUCGGCUUCACUCCUUUGGAGGUGAGAUUUAAGGACACUGUGGAGAGCUUGAAAGAGAUGCUGCAACAGGCAA